UAAAUUUACGUCACCAGCCCUUAUUGGACACAUUGGCUGCCAGUUUAGCCGCGGGGGGGGGGCGAGAAAACUCAGGCGCUCCAUUUUUAUUGGCCGGAAGUCUGUCAAUCACCUGGAGUGGGGGCGAGAACUCCGCCUGCGCCCCUUUGUGACUAGAUGAUCGGCCUGUCGAUCAGAGGAAAACGGAAGAGGCGGGACACGGCCCCCGGAAGCACCUUUUGAGUGGAGGAAUGAAUUGCCUGUCAAUAAAAAGAAGGGGAAAGUUCGAAUGUUGGUGGCGGUGGAACAGGCGCAGGGGAGGAGGGGCUAAAACCCCCAGCCUCGACCCGCCCUCACGGCCGAGGGGGGAGCGCUUUGCUGCCAGCCACCCGCGAAAGCGCUUCUCCCAGCAUGCAGCGCGCCCGGCGGGCCGUGGUGACUCCCGGCGUGCCCCGCGCUGACCCCGCCCCCGGGCAGCCCGCGGCUUGCCCCGAAGAAGCCGCCGGGGCCGGGGCCGGGGGCCGGGGCCGAGGCGUGGGCAGCCCCCGGCGGCCGGAAGCGGGGGACUAAGGCCUCCGCACCCCCCGGGCAGAGCCGCUGCUGGCGCUGCCCGCUCCGGCCGGUCCCUCCAGCGGGGCAGCGCCUCCCUUAGCGUGAAUCCGGCCCCCGCCGCCUCCCCGUUUCUCCCUUUGAGGGCCCUGUUGGGAGGAAAAGAUUCCGUCCGUUUGUCCAAGCGGCCAGAGGCGGCGGCGGCGGGUUAAUUACCAGGCCCGCUUUUCUCUGCUUGCCCGGUUUCUGCUGUAUUCCCCUUUCUCUUGCAUUGCUGACUCAGAGAUGGACUUGGGUCCAAGAUACUCACUUCUCCAUUGAACUGUGAAUGCUUCGAGGGACAGCGGAAUGUGGGGCAUGCCACGAUCUGAUGCUGGACUAAUCUUACAAGUCUACAAUUUGGAAUGUUAUAGACUACGGCGUGCCAGUCUUCACAAAAGGGGAGGCAUUGUGCUGGAGCUGAACACGAAAGUAGCUAGGCCCCACAUAAAUUUCUACCGCUUAGGAAACUAGCUAGUCCACAAGCAGAUGUCACGUGGGGCUGGUAACUGUCUAAGCUUUGGGGAAAGCUGCGGGGAUACUGUGCCUGGAACAGGGUGGGAGGGGGGAGGUUUCUGGCUACUGGGAAAUCUAAGUUCACCUACUGGUUGGAACUACCUGACUUUCCUGACCUGCCCUUCUGACACCCCAGCCCUAUCCACUCCUGGUUCCCAACUCCUCCCUCCAGCUGGGAAUCAACAGAGGAGAGGCAGGUUGCUCAACAGGGAGGGUCCCCUCAGCUUGGGAUGUUCUGGAAGCUCACUUCGUUUGGGGAAGGAGAGGUACUGCAGGACACUGAGGAUGAGUAUACUAAGGAUUAAUGUAGGGAGGGGCACUGUAGGGGAAGGGAUGGAGGUCAGGAGUCCUUUGAGGGAGAGAGGCUAGAAAGUCACUUGGGUGUCAGGGAAAGGGGUAAGGGAAGAUCUCCCUCCAGUAACAAACACCUUCACACUGACCCCCCUACCUCAGCUACAAAGCCCCCCUGCAGUGCCAGGGACAAGUGCCUGCACCUUGAAGCCUACCACCAUUUGCCAAACUCUCUCAAAUUUCCACAUCAGUAUUAGCCCUGCACCUAAAGCCAGCGCCCAAGCUGUCACAGCCUUACCUUGACUCCCCCCCACUCUGUUGACAAUACUAAGGGAGCUUCCCUUCAGGAUUCUAGGCUGGUCCCCCCUACAUGAAAUAAAAAUGGCUUUCUAAUCUUG